rnacentral:rRNA from 1 species
AAAGCUCACCAAGGCAACGACGGGUAGCUGGUCUGAGAGGACGACCAGUCACAAGGGAACUGAGACACGGUCCCUACUCCUACGGGAGGCAGCAGUGAGGAAUUUUCCGCAAUGGGCGAAAGCCUGACAGAGCGACGCCGUGUGUGGGAUGAAAUCUUUCGGGAUGUAAACCACUGUCAGAUGGGAAGAUAUUGACGGUACCAUCAGAGGAAGCCCCGGCUAACUACGUGCCAGCAGCCGCGGUAAUACGUAGGGGGCGAGCGUUGUCCGGAAUCAUUGGGCGUAAAGGGCGCGUAGGCGGUUUUGUAAGUCGGGUGUUAAAACUAUCCGCUCAACGGGUAGCUGCAUCCGAAACUGCUUAACUAGAGAAUGGUAGAGGAAAGCGGAACUUCCGGCGUAGCGGUGAAAUGCGUAGAUAUCGGAAGGAACACCAGUGGCGAAGGCGGCUUUCUGGGCCAUUUCUGACGCUGAGGCGCGAAAGCUAGGGGAGCAAACGGGAUUAGAUACCCCGGUAGUCCUAGCCCUAAACGAUGUUCACUAGGUGCUAAAGGUAUCGACCCCUUUAGUGCCGCAGCUAACGCGUUAAGUGAACCGCCUGGGAAUUACGAUCGCAAGAUUAAAACUCAAAGGAAUUGACGG